UUUCUUUAAUGAUGUAUUUAUAUUUCUAAAAACAUAAAGACUGAGAAUAUUCCAUAGCAAACUGAAAAUAGCAGUUUUCUCUAAAGAUAUGGUAGUCAUGAGCCACAUUUGGCUAUUGAGUACUCAAAAUAUUGCUGGUAUAACUAAAGAAUGGAAAAUUUAAUUUAUUUAAUUUUAACUACUUCAAUUUUAAUUUAAAAAUUGGUACUUGAGAUUGGGCACAGUGACACACACCUGUAAUCCCAGUCAGUCUGGAGGCUAAGGCAGGAGGAUUACAAAUUGGGGCCAAACUCAGGAAUUUAGCACGAAAAAAUAAAAUAUGGAGAGGUGACUCAGUGGUAGAAUGCCCCUGGGUUCAAUCCCCAGUAUCACAAAAGACAACAAAAACAAAACCUUGGUACCUGAUUCAGUUAUUGGGAAGCUUUUAAGUAUAUUUGCAACAACUUGGAUAUAUGAGUCUACUUUUCAACUAGAUCUGCUUUUCAACUGUCUGCUUUAUGAAAUCUAAGUACAGAUCAAGUAUUUCCAAUAAGAAUUUAUUUAUUUAUUUAUUUUUAAAAUGAGGACAUUUCUUUUUAUGUAUUUAUUUUGUAGUUGUAGAUGGAUAGCAUGCCUUUAUUUUAUUUGUUUAUUUUUAUGUGGUGCUGAGGAUUGAACCCAGUGCCUCACACAUGCAAGGUAAGCGCUCUGGCACUGAGCUACAGCCCUGCCCCUCCAAUAAGAAUUUAGCAUUCAAAUGGAGAUUUGUUGCAAGUGUAAAAUACAACCAAAUGUAGGAGACUAACUACAAAAAAAAAACUGAAAA
rnacentral:lncRNA from 1 species